rnacentral:rRNA from 1 species
CUACGGGACGCUCCAGUGGGGAAUAUUGCACAAUGGGCGCAAGCCUGAUGCAGCCAUGCCGCGUGUAUGAAGAAGGCCUUCGGGUUGUAAAGUACUUUCAGCGGGGAGGAAGGGAGUAAAGUUAAUACCUUUGCUCAUUGACGUUACCCGCAGAAGAAGCACCGGCUAACUCCGUGCCAGCAGCCGCGGUAAUACGGAGGGUGCAAGCGUUAAUCGGAAUUACUGGGCGUAAAGCGCACGCAGGCGGUUUGUUAAGUCAGAUGUGGAAUCCCCGGGCUCAACCUGGGAACUGCAUCUGAUACUGGCAAGCUUGAGUCUCGUAGAGGGGGGUAGAAUUCCAGGUGUAGCGGUGAAAUGCGUAGAGAUCUGGAGGAAUACCGGUGGCGAAGGCGGCCCCCUGGACGAAGACUGACGCUCAGGUGCGAAAGCGUGGGGAGCAAGCAGGAUUAGAUACCCGUGUAGUC